rnacentral:tRNA from 2 species
GGCGGAUGUAGCCAAGUGGAUCAAGGCAGUGGAUUUGUGAAUCCACCAUGCGCGAA